ACUCAAAGGAAUUGACGGGGGCCCGCACAAGCGGCGGAGCAUGUGGCUUAAUUCGACGCAACGCGAAGAACCUUACCAAGGCUUGACAUAUACCGAAAACUCAUAGAGAUAUGGGGUCCGCAAGGGCGGUAUACAGGUGGUGCAUGGUUGUCGUCAGCUCGUGUCGUGAGAUGUUGGGUUAAGUCCCGCAACGAGCGCAACCCUCGUCCUAUGUUGCCAGCGAGUAAUGUCGGGGACUCAUAGGAGACUGCCGGGGUCAACUCGGAGGAAGGUGGGGAUGACGUCAAAUCAUCAUGCCCCUUAUGUCUUGGGCUGCACACAUGCUACAAUGGCCAGUACAAAGGGCUGCAAUACCGCAAGGUGGAGCUAAUCCCAAAAAGCUGGUCUCAGUUCGGAUUGGGGUCUGCAACUCGACCCCAUGAAGUCGGAGUCGCUAGUAAUCGCAGAUCAGCAACGCUGCGGUGAAUACGUUCCCGGGCCUUGUACACACCGCCCGU
rnacentral:rRNA from 1 species